ensembl:lncRNA
CCCAGCACAAUCUCCCCUCCCCACACAUUUGGGUUUUUACAGAAAGAGAUAGAAGUUCUGGGGUGAGGAUGCAGAGGCCCAGUUCAACUUUCUCCUUCAAGGCUACACAGCUGGUUCCUUAAGCUGAGCCAGGAUCAGCAUCCUGGUCACCUGCCACAGCUGAUUGAUUAAGACCUUCGAUCAUACUUUGUUCGACCACAAAGGCAAAGUAGACACCCACGUACUACUCUGUUCUCCCAGCAGGAAGAUCUCCCUCCUCCAGGUCCUCAGGGCUCUCUGAGAGGGCCUGGAACUCUUCACCUCCCAACAACCAGGCUUGGGGCUUUUCCUCAGGCAGCUGGUGAGCAAGAUUGUGUCACAGGUAUUCCUGGGCCUCCAGCAGGGGGUGGCACAGCUGCUCCUAGAGGUUCUCCCUGGUUGGUGCAGGUAUGGUCACCCCAGCAAGGGACCGAUGUCCAAGACCACAAACUGGUGACAGUAUAUAGGUCUGGAGGCUGAGAAGUUCAAGAUCAAUGUGCUGCAGAGUCCGGUGAGGCAGCUCUUGGCUUGAAAGAUGGCACCUUGCUGGCACCUCCUCCAGAGGGAACGAAUGCUACAUCUUCACAUGGCGGAAGGGUCAAGGACCCACAUCUAUGAUGGCCUUCUUGCUGGAGGAGUUCCAAGAUGGUGCAGUGUGUCACAUCGUGAGAGAUAGGGAGCACUCUUCUGGUCUCUCUGUCCUUAAAAAGUCACUGCCCUGAUGACCUCAUUUAAUCCUAAUGACCUCCCAAGGGUCCUGCCUCUAAGCACCACAGUCAGGUUAAGUUUCCAC